rnacentral:lncRNA from 1 species
AAAAAGGUUACUUAAGGAUCAGAUCUUGCCUUACCAAAAUUAUCUAAUGCUACUGACUAACCCUUAAAGUGAAUUACAUUUAAAAACAAAGUACAUGCCUUACAAACAAACACUAAUUACUUUUGGACUCUAAUGACCCCUAAUUGUGAAACACAAAAAUCAAACAAUCAAUAUAAAAUUCUACUCCUAUAGUGAGACUUGUAGUUUUGACUAACAAGACCCACUCACCUGUCUAGCUGUCUAGCUAUGUCAAAUUUAAAUAAAACAAUGAAAGAGUACCAAGGACUCUUCCAAAGAACUUGGACUUUUCAAAAACCCUUUUACAAAACAAAGCUAAAACUAUAGAAGGCUAACACACAAGCCUAUUACAAAUCAAUUACACAAAACAAAACAAAACAAUCUCAAAAAUAAACAAUCCUAUGCUACGAUCCUGGUCCACUUCUGUAUGAAGAAUCAUGUUCCCUCAUUGUUGCCUCUUGACAACUUCAAGCUUCUAUCUGUUGUCCAUUCCUACAACACAUAUAUGAGCAAAGUUUCAAUCAAUAUUCCCUUAGCUAAAACAGAUUACUCAGAAUAAGAUAUACGACAGUAAGAACUUCCCUUUCUCUCGGCUUGUUGUGCAAUUGAUGCCCAGUUGCUCUCAAUUGUAUUCUGCUGGACAAGUUUUCCAAUUCUCAUUAAUCCCAAAUCUGCACAAAUAUUCACUCCAAUAUAAUAAUAGACAAGCAACAAUGCUUUCACUACAGAAACAACUAAUGAACACAAAGGAAAGUAACAACAACCCAAUUUAAACACUCCCUUCAACUGUUGUUUCUAGUUGCGGGUUCUUGAACCAAGAUAGUUGUUCCAAACUUUUGCCAAAGUAAUGUUGUUGUCUAAUGAUUCAACACAAAUCAGUUCUACACAGAGUCACACCAAAAUCCAACAAAUACAUAUGUUCAUGGCAAUUGAACCAAAUUCAGAUUAUAUAUGAUUCAAAACAAGAACUGAACUGGUUAAGCAACAAUCCAAGCUAGUCAAAGUUGAUGGACUAAACUAGUUUAUCCAAAGAACAAGAAUGAUAGGAUGCAACGCAGACCCUAGUCAUCUAAGUCCUUAAAUCAUGCAAUCAAAAUUGGAAAUGAAAUGCUUAAGUCACUUUGUAAAACUAAAUGAUGUAUGACAGUUAAAACAAGUUGAUGCACCAACCCUAUUUUCUCCAAACAGAUCAGCUCAUUGACAGCGGUACCACACACAAUAGAUAUGUCAAUAUGAUUUGGAUGAAACUAAAUGGCAACCAAGAAUAUACAACUAAAUGGAAAUCAAACUGGACAAAUUGACAUCUGCACGUAAAUCAGCAAGCAAAUUUAAAAUUUGGAAAUGAAUUCAGUAGCAGUAAGCAAUUGUAAAAACUACAGUUCAACAGUUGCAUGGGGGGCGUGUCUACAAGUCCGAAAUAACAUUAGUUAAUAACAUGUUUGAGUAAACACCUUAAUUGAAUAUUUUAUAAUAAGUUUUUCAUUGAAACUUAACAAGUUAAAAAGUGCUUAUAAGAAGUUCAUAGGCUCAAAUUAGUUUCACACAACCACUAAAAACUAAAAGUUAGUUAUCCAACAAAGUUUGCAAUUGGGUUCUCUGCAUAUAUUUGUCUAGUUAGUUACUUUCUUGCUUAAGGGUGAGCUGGAUCUUCCUAAACCUUUAUAUUCAUAAGCCUAGAGCAGAUAAAGUAACUAUCUUAACCUGAGAAAAGCGAAAUAAAUGAAAUAAAUAUUAUUAAUAACCCUAGCAACUACAUUUAUAUUUAAAUGACAAAUUCUAACAAAUGUUCAUAACAAUGGUGAAGAAAAUAAAAGCCUUCUUACUUAUUGAAAUAAAAAUGCACAAGCUGCAUAUCUUCUGUAAUUCCACUUCAACAGUUGCAUGUGGAGCGUGUCUACAAGUCCGAAAUAACAUUAAUUAAUAACAUGUUUGAGUAAACAGCUUAAUUGAAUAUUUACCCACAAACUUAAGCAAAACAAAAAUAUUAUAUUAAGUUUUUCCUUGAAACUUAACAAGUUAAAAAGUGCUUAUAAGAAGUUCAUACACUAAAAUUAGUUUCACACAACCACUAAAAACUAAAAGUUAGUUAUCCAACAAAGUUUGCAAUUGGGUGCUCUGCAUAUAUUUCUUUAGUUAGUUACUUUGUUGUUUAAGGGUGAGCUGGAUCUUCCUAAACCUUUAUAGUCUACAACUAUCAUCAUAAAUCUUGUAUAGAUAUCCAUAAGCCUAGAGCAGCAAAAGUAACUAACUUAAACUGAGAAAAGCGAAAUAAAUGGAAUAUAUAUUAUUAAUAACCCUAGUAGCAACUACAUUUAUAUUUAAAUGAGAAAUUCUAACAAAUGUUCAUAACAAUGGUGAAGAAAAUAAAAGCCUUCUUACCUAUUGAACAGGAAUGUUUGUGGCAGUACUUAAUGACUUUGUCACCCCUGUUCGAGACCUCUUAGAGCCCUGCAGAGAAAUAAGAGAAGCUAUUAUGCUCAAAUGCACAAAAAAUUAGCAUCAAGGAAAUAUUAAACUGAAAACACUCCUUAACGCAAAAAAAAAAAAAANN